rnacentral:misc_RNA from 1 species
GAUGAAGAACGUAGCGAAAUGCGAUAAGUAAUGCGAAUUGCAGAAUUCCAGUGAGUCAUCGAAUCUUUGAACGCAUAUUGCGCCCUUUGGUAUUCCGAAGGGCAUGCCUGUUCGAGCGUCAUUAUCACCCCUCAAGCCCCCUGGGCUUGGUGUUGGAGAGUUUGGUCUCGGUGACGAGACCCCUCCUAAAGUCAAUGACGGCGGCCUGUUCGACCCCCGGUACACUGAGCUUCUUAACCGAGCACGUAUCGGCCUAGGCAGGACCCGGUCCUCUUCCUUAACUGGAAAAAUCCUUUUCAAGGUUGGCCUCGGAUCAGGUAGGGAUACCCGCUGAACUUAAGCAUAUCAAUAAGCGGAGGA